GGGCGGACUCGGGGGCAGGCCCCAAGGGGCCCAGACCUUGAUCUGUGUCAGGGGCACCACAAUUUCUGAUGGAAGCCCUGAUCAGGGGAUAUGAUUGCUAUGAAGGGGUGUACAAGGCCUGCAACAAACUCUAGUUAGUAAAUGUCAACGUAAAAUCCAUAUGAAUGUCAGUACCAAAGUUUACCAGCAGAACAUUUCCCAGAGCAUAACACUGCC